AAUGAACGUUGGCGGCGUGGAUUAGGCAUGCAAGUCGAGCGAGAAGUGUAGCAAUACACGGAAAGCGGCGAGAGGGAUAGUAACACGUAGGUACCUACCCCCGGGCCUGGGAUAGCGGCGGGAAACUGCCAUUAAUACCAGAUAACGUCCCCGGACCAAAGGUGUGAUUCCGUCUGGGGAGGGGCCUGCGUCCUAUCAGCUAGUUGGUGAGGUAAUGGCCCACCAAGGCUAUGACGGGUAGCGGGUGUGAGAGCACGACCCGCAUCACUGGGACUGAGACACUGCCCAGACACCUACGGGUGGCUGCAGUCGAGAAUCUUCCGCAAUGGGCGCAAGCUUGACGGAGCGACGCCGCGUGCGGGAUGAAGGCCUUCGGGUUGUAAACCGCUGUCAGUGGGGAGGAAAUGCAUGGGGGUUCUCCCCUGUGUUUGACCGAUCCGCAGAGGAAGCACAGGCUAAGUUCGUGCCAGCAGCCGCAGUAACAC
rnacentral:rRNA from 1 species